GACAGAGGUCCCAAGCGUUAGGCGGAAUCACUGGGCUUAAAGCGUGUGUAGGCGGAUUUGUAAGUACCUUGUGAAAUCCCACGGCUCAACCGUGGAACGGCUGGGUAUACUGCCUGUCUUGAGCCAACUAGGGGCGAGCGGAACAGACGGUGGAGCGGUGAAAUGCGUAGAUAUCGUCUGGAACGCCAAAGGUGAAAACAGCUCGCUGGGGUUGUGCUGACGCUGAGACACGAAAGCCAGGGGAGCGAACGGG
rnacentral:rRNA from 1 species